CUACUGGAGCAGAUGAAUCUAUUCACACCUCUGAUCCUAUGAUAAAAGGGGUCCCGGAUCGUGAUCUAUGGAUUAGAUCGUCCCAAGGACAAGCCAAAAUGGACAGACUACUGUGCACACUAUAUCUCUCUCCGUAUAUUCUCUGUAUUUCUAAUGAUUCAUUACGAGAGAGAGUCUCAUCCUUUAUAUAGGAAGGAAUGAGAAGUUUGGAUGAGAUUGGAUGAGACCAUAUCAUCCGAUCACAUCCCUAUCUCCCAUCAAAAA